rnacentral:snoRNA from 1 species
AUGCAUCUGUUUGACCUGGAGAAGUCACGGUCUGCUGCUAACGUUUCUACUACAGAUGCAAGAAAAAAAGUGGCCUGGUGCUUUCUGUCUGUCUGAUUGUGGCAACCAAGAUUGAAUAGAGGUAUACAGGG